GAUGAACGCUGGCGGCGUGCCUAAUACAUGCAAGUCGAGCGAACGGACGAGAAUCUUGCUUCUCUGAUGUUAGCUGCGGACGGGUGAGUAACACGUGGAUAACCUACCUAUAAGACUGGGAUAACUUCGGGAAACCGGAGCUAAUACCGUAUAAUAUUUUGAACCGCAUGGUUCAAAAGUGAAAGACGGUCUUGCUGUCACUUAUAGAUGGAUCCGCGCUGCAUUAGCUAGUUGGUAAGGUAACGGCUUACCAAGGCAACGAUGCAUAGCCGACCUGAGAGGGUGAUCGGCCACACUGGAACUGAGACACGGUCCGGACUCCUACGGGAGGCAGCAGUAGGGAAUCUUCCGCAAAGGGCGAAAGCCUGACGGAGAAACGCCGCGUGAGUGAUGAAGGUCUUCGGAUCGUAAAACUCUGUUAUUAGGGAAGAACAUAUGUGUAAGUAACUGUGCACAUCUUGACGGUACCUAAUCAGAAAGCCACGGCUAACUACGUG
rnacentral:rRNA from 1 species